GCGCCGCCAACGUCUCCACCUGUGGAGUCAAAGUAGGAAGCAGAAAACAGAGGCAAAUGACCCGUGAUGACCUCGUGUGAUUUUGGCUUUGUUACAGCAGCACGGGGCGACUUUCUCCGAGACAGCCUGAUGAUGCCCGGUGAGCACAGGAGCACUGCCGCGCUGUUGUUAUCCACAACACACGGUGUUGGCUCCACAAAGUUUGACAUAUAACUUGCUUUAAUUGGCACAACAACAACAACAACAGCAACAACAGGCCCAACCCCGUUGAAUGAUUUAGCUCAGCUGAGCUCGGUGUGGACGCUCAUUACCGCUCAUGGCCCGCUAAAGCACAGCGUGCCGAUCGCUAAUCACAUGGAUCCACUGCAAUCAAUUCUUGUUUUACUUUCCUCUGGUGAUCUAGACAGGAAAUACAGAGCAAUUCACUCACGUACUCGAUGUGUCCUUAACUUAACGACGCACUGAUUACUGCGCCUCAUGUGGCUGGUGGCCUCCAGUAUUGGUUCGUUAGUACAUUUGCAACCUUUUGUUUUUUUACAGGUGAUCAUUUUGUUCCCAUGUCAACCAGCCGGCUUUAAGGCUUUAGUACAAUUAUUCCAAUGACAUCGGUGUGAAUUUAUUAUGUUUUGAUUCAGUAUCUUAAGGAAAUCCAACUUCAUUAUGAUUUCUCUGCCACAUCCAAUCCGAUUUUAAUUUGUGUUUUUCGUUUGUGAUACAUUUAAAGAGAACAACAAAGAAGAAAGGCAUGCUGGACUUUAUCUCCUCUGGUAAACUUAAUGCUGAAUGAGUUGAGUCUAUCCUGACAUCAUCUUAAUGAAAAUGUCGGUGGGGAGGCAACAAAUAGGGCCACGCUAAGGCUUCGGGGAGCAGAGACGGUGAGCAGAUAGGUGGAGGGGAGCGGGGGGGGUGAAACCAAGCAAAGACAGGCGGGGGGUCAGAGGAAGCGGCGUCGAAGGCACAUUAAGGCCGCCGCAUGCUUCUGCGUCGUUGCGUCGACGCACUCGUUUCACUUCAUGGUUCUGCGUGUGCUGCAGAGCGAUUCACCGCCAGAACAACAGGCGGAGUGACGUGUUUUGUUGAAGACGACCUAGAAAGUCACGUCUAUUUAUUUAUUUGUUUAUUUAUUUAUCAUAGACUUUAUUGCCCCGUGCGUCACCACUGCUGCUUUUCAUCGCGGACACAUUUGUCCCGUAUUUUCCUCCACAACUUUGCGCACCUCUCGACCGGCAAACCGGCGUUUGCGGCGAUCUCCCUCCGUGAAUCCAACCCGCUUCUACAACCCGCCAAUGGCGGCUUGCACAAGCGGUCAUGUUUACGCAUUUCUUCCGACAAAAAUCUGCUCCGUUCUCUCGUAAACAUUCUGCGUUUUAAUAAUGGCGGCAUCGGGCUAUGAAAGCGGAAAUGUGAGACUCCGCGAAGGACGUAGUUAGCGGACCAAUCGCGGCCUGGUGCGCUGCGGGAGGCUUGCGUUGCUAGCGUCGCUUUCGACGCAAGCCUAGAAAAGUGGCUCGACACCCGCAAAGACGCAAGGAGGUGUGAAAAGCGGCGCAAGGGACACGCAAGGGGGGGUCUUGCCUCUGCGUCGCUCUGAAAACGCAGAAGCAUAAACUAGGCUUUGAGGCCGAGCAACGCAGAUGAGCAAAGACGAUGAGUGCGAGCGAGAUAAAGGCGGGAUGGGGGAGGAACGGUGGGAAUACUCACGCGCGGGCUGACUGCCUGUGAAUGUAGCCCAGAAUGUAGCACACGUACCGGUGAUGUUGGGUUGCUCAGCCAUAUGAGCCGGGUCUUGACCCACGUCGGGGUUCCUGAGGCCGAUUUCAUGCUAAAAUCCAACUUCUGGAAAUGUGUUGUUUCCCUACAGAGUUUACGUUGUUGCACAUCCGGCGGCAUCAACGUAGCCUUGUGAAGGAUGCUGUAGCAGACACUAAUAGCAUUAAAUAUAUUUUCUUUUUACCAGAGGUAUCUGUACAGAUCCCACGGCCACAUUAAGCCGCCAGAAGGAUCCGGGUGGUAACUUCGUCUCUGUCCUACACUAAACGGCAGCGACGUUGGGAGCCGAUCGUUUGCGCGUCCGUCAUAGUUGACAUCUGGACGAGACGUGACUGCGGUGAACUCCUGCUCUGCGUCUCAGCCUGGCAACCGGGCUCCAAAGAUGGCUGCGUGUUGGAUACGACCCGGAAGACUCUGGUCUUUCCGCCGGGAGGCCGGUGGUCGAGUCUCCAAGAAUAGUUAUCAUCUUGAAGUGAGGUUUGCGAGAGAACAUGUUGGAGUAUAAGACAAGCCUUUGUCACGUGGUCUAAUGAAAUGACUCCAAGAGCUCAUUUGUGCCUUUUGUUGUGUUUUCCUCUCCAGGCAGGGUGCUAAAUGGAAGAGUGUGUCUUUGCGAUAAGUGUGUGUUUGCCUGUCGAGGUCAGUCUAAAAAAGAGAGAAUGUCUGCAGCAGGGACUCAUUGUGUAUUUUGGGGAAGAUGUGCACAACCUUAUCAAGGAAUAGGGUUGUUACAUUAACUUCAGCUUUAAACAAGAAAAAACAAUGUCAAGCUUACCCAAGUUUAUGCCUAGAUUAAUGCCACUAUAAUCUGUCUACAAUUAUUGUGGAGAGCGCUCUCUUCUUCAGUGGUCAUUAAUUAAAAUAUAAAAUGUUGACUGCAACGAUGUAUGCUAAUAUGCUAGUUAAUCCUAUGUGUUAUCCUGUAUAGUGUGGCAUAUUAAUAUGCUUUAAUUACAUUUUGAAAUGUGUUGAGUAGUGAAAAGCCUGCAAAUACAAUUGGUAUUACAUCCACAUACUGCAUUGGGAAAAGUAUCACAAUAAAACAAAUAACAAUAUAAAAACCCCGGACAGUUGUGCCAUUUAAUAUUUGAAUAUUUGAAUAUUCGCAUAUUUCUGUUAUCACUCAAUUUAAUUGAUUUAACUUUCUGAAGAAUAUGGUAUCGAUGCUUUGUGAUAAAUAAUUCUGCAGUGCUAUUAAUGUUGACUGCAUAAAAUGUUUGUUCACACAAAUGGAAUCUAUUUUGGCUUUGGUUGUUGUUUUGUUUGUUUUUUGGUCUCCCCUCAUUUGAAAUGGUAAAAAAAACAUUUAGACAUCGUGGUCAUUUUAUCAAAGGAUUCUGUAGCUAAAUGGUUAUAAUUUAAAGUUUAUGUACCAACUAUUUUUAACUGUUACAUGUUAAAGUUGAACACGGUUUAAGCCAUUUAUAAAGGAAAUGGAAUAUCAUUUCAUAGUUAAGUGCAACAAUGAGUUAACAGAUACUAAUAUGUAAAGCCUGAGUGUUGUUGCUAUGGAUACCUCAAUUUUAAUGUACCUAUUUUUUGCAUCAUUCCACCCUCCCAAUCAUUCACCGCCAUAAAGCAUAAAUAAAUGAAUAGAUGUCAACACUUGACCCCUCGGAAAAAAAAAGCCCCUCAAGGUGUCAGAGCUUCCGGGUAAAGUAUUGAAAUAAUAAAUAUUAAAGUGAUGUCAAGCGGAGGAGGAUGUUUCAGUGUCACGUCUCUGUGAGCAUUGUGUUUUUGUGUAGGUGUCAGCAAGCCGAGCAUCUCUUCACUUCAAGUUGCAUCACACAUAUUGAUCAAACGCCUACAGUGUGCACGUGUGCGCGCGUGUGUCACUCUUUUGACACGCACACAACGAGGAGCAGCUAAUCCACGCGCCCAAGUGCUCAUAGGAGAUGACCUGCAGUCCAGCGGCUAAAUUCAGCCCACUGUUCAGGCACAGUGAGCUGCUGCUAUACCGCCAUUGUUGUGAAGAAUUAAAAACUGAUUGUUGGAUUCAGCCGUCGUGAGUAACGGAGGGGAGGGGGGUGGGUGUUGAUUUAUGCAAAGCCUCUGUGGAAAAAGUCAACUAAAUCCUGACUGGUGACUGUGCGGUUGUUUCUCUAAGAGGUGAAGCACGUGCCUGGAAGCGGGAACUCUGGGCGGCGAUGACAGAGGGAGUCUGUUACGGAGAGCAGAUAAAACGAAAACGUGAACUGGGGAAGCGCUGCUCGAUGUCUCUCGCUGGUAAUUGAGUCGCUUUCAAACAGUGGGGGAAGUGUGCGCGUGUCUGGUGUCGGGGUUAUUUGAUUAAAAGUGGAAGAAGGCCUAAUUACAUCAAACACAGCCUGCUUGGAUGAAUAUUUGUGCGUCCAAACACACCGGCGCUACAUCUGCAAGCUUCAGAUAGAGAUUUAUCUGGAAAAAAAUGGGACUCCAAACACCGUCCGCAAAUGAGAUACUAACUUUGAGUCGGCUGCUUUACUUUUUUUGGAAACUGAUCAUAGUCUUUUUAAUAAACAUAAAUAAUUGAAAAAAUUCACAAGAAUGAUUUGACAUGAUUUUAAGGUAACGGUAUAAAUGCAGGAGAGGACCAAGGCAUUAAAUGUAAAGACGUUCUGGAAGCAAAAUAUCGCUCGUUGUCCUCCUUUUACUAGUUUCACAACAUCUGUCCACAAUUAAAUCCGGUGGACAGAUGUGUGCCAUCGUGUUUUUGUUUGGUCAUAUCAGCAAUCAAAAAUAGCAAAACGUCUAAAUAGACAUUUUUUAAAUUAAAUUACUGCAAAUUUGCUCAUAUUGCUUAAACAUUGUUUCAAUUUGCAUUUGAAUUUGGUCGAAUGUGACAUAUAUAUGUAACACACACGACCUCCAAAACACGCCUUAGACUUGGUGCUUAAAGAUUUCACUCCAAAUAAAAUACUUUUGCAUUUACUUAACUAUUAAUUCAGAAAAACACUGCAUCCAACAGCUCAGCUUUGCGCUCAAUGUGUCUUUUCUCUCUAAGUAGACGCCUCCUAAACUGAAGUUGAUUUAAACUGAAACUUUUGCAUUGAACACAAAUGCUGAACUUUUACAAUGUUAUUUUGGGGGGACAAUACUCUGCGACCUUGUUGUGGGAGCGGCGCUUGAGACAAGCAACAAUAUAAGUCAUCAUCCUCAUCUCCUUUUGGUGAUAAAGAAAAAAAAAUCCCAAAGGACCCCAAAGACUCUGAAAUAAUACAUUCAAGGUUAUGUGUCCAACAAAAAGCUUAUCUGUUGAGCCGUCCCAAAAUGACGGAUGAUGUACAGACUCGCGUGUUACCAGAUCACUGUUAUUUGGAAUAUCUCGCAGCUCGUAUUGUCGGCUGUGUGAAGAGAUUACAAGGUCCGGGGGAAGGUCAGGGGUCACAGCUGCUCCACGGAAAGGAUUCUACAAUUUAUUAUCUGUUUCCAUUCAUUCCCGUAGAGAUUCAAGGUCUCAAAUCCCGUACCAGACAAACAAUCAGUGCCAGGAGAGAGAGAGAGAGAGAGAGAGAGAGAGAGAGAGAGAGAGAGAGCGCAACAAUGUGUUCUUUUCCAUCACAAAGCACUUCAGUCUAUUAAUGUCUUUGAUGUCACACAUCAUUUUACUUAUUAUGCAAAUAUUUCCUUGUUAGAAAUUCAAGAUGAGAAUUUAUCUGCCUGCAUCUCGAUGUCUGCUGUGAAUACGUAAAAUGAGAAAGAUUAAGGAGAAAAUAAAUAAAUAAAAAGGGGAAGGAGGUGUGAAAGUGAAAGACUGAUGGGGGGGGGGGAGUGGGGGGGGGUGUGAAACGCUAUACAAUUUACCACUGAAAUAAUUUCUACUCUUCGUGGACUUGGUCCCUGUUAGUAACUGACACCUCACGCACGGGAUGAAUUGGCGGAAACAGACACUUUCAUAAACACUCCCGUCUUUUCUCACUUUUUUAAAAAAGUGUGAGGAAAUUGAAAAGGAUGUUGAAGAUUUCAGGUGGUCGGCUGACAUCUUCUAGGCCCGAAAACGCUGUCUGUGCCCUGUGUGCCGAGUCGCCUCAGACGACCAAUUCCAAUUUCGCGAAGGCUAAGAAGUGGAGCGAAAGUUUGGAACUCUUGAACCUUACGGACAACAGUCAUGUAGCAAAAAAAGGAUUUUACUCAGACGGAUCUAAAGAUGAGCAGCGCUUGCAUGAAAAUGUCAACCUCUAUUUCAUGGCAGGUGUUUUGCUUAGAACACAACGAAAUGAGUGUGACGUUGUUCGAAUGAGCAGCUGAUGCUAACCAGCUAAUUGUCAGAAAAUAUUGCCCAUAUUGAUAAUUUUCCAAGCUACUGUUGCUGUAAUAGGCACCACCAAUAAAAAUCAGCAGACCAAGUUACCAAGGGGUUGAACAUUAUGGAGCAUUAAGCAGCUAAAUAACCUGCUAUUUCCCUCAGCAGUUGAAACUAAAACAGAGCUGAAAGGAGAACAAUGAACUUGCAGUCCAAAUGAUUCCAGACAGAUGACUCCACGCGGAUCCUAAUUGGGGAAUUCUUUGCCAAUUUCUUGCUACUUCAACUCUAUAAAAGGCCAUAAUAGCACCACCAACCAGGCCUAUUUAUAGCAGAAGCGGUGCCGUUGACUGAUGGACUGCAAAUUCAUGCCACGAAACAUCUUCUGUCUGUCUGUGUCCAGUGCAAGUAAAUAUCUGGCAUAUGGAGAUCUGCAGAACAGGUGGGACCAACGUACUGCCAUUCAUAAAUGUUGCAGGCUGAGUGAGAGAUUUGAUCUCUUGGGAUUGUUUUUGCUUCCUUACAGGUACGACGUUAACAAUGGAAAAGAGGAGGACGUCAACUCGACGGGUUAAAAUCCUCUUCCCCGCUAUACGUCAACCUUGAGUUAUCAUCCCCAGGCAUCAUCACAGAUGUUUCAUUGGCAAGGCACUCUGCACACGAUAAAGAAAAAUAUCCACUCGCUAACGCGCGCCAUGAGACAUAUGGCUGAUCAGGCAUUCCAGCUCCUUUUACUUCACUCUGUGUGCUCUCUGGCUGCACAUUUGAUUUUAAAUCACCCAGCAUCCCAUCUCCCUUUUCCCUUUUUCAUUUUCUAACUCCUGAACUUUUAGGUUGUGACAAAUAGAUGGGGUUGCGGCAAAAUGAAUUCCAACACAAGUUACGGCGGGCGAAAGCCUUAAAACAAUAGGCCAUUAGCAUUUUUCGCACCCAUCCAUCAGCAGGCAGUGCCAGGCCCACUGGCAGACAUUCAUCACAUCCGUGCCACCGAGCAAGAAGUGGAAGAAGGCCCUCGGGCCCCGGCUGCUCUGCGUAAAAUGAGACGUAUGAAUGCAACACGAUGGGCUCAGAUAAAAAGCAAAUUCAGCACAAUUCAGCUGCGGACCGCGAAGAUCAAUACGUUAAAAGGAUCCUCUGACAAGAUGACUGAUGCUUUAAUACAAGCAGUGAACGAGCAGACGGUGCAGAGGUUAGCGUAACGUGUUUAUUGCUGCGGAGCGUGACUAUAAAAUGAUGCACUGUAAAAAAGAAGAAGAAAAAAAGCCAUUAAAAGCACCACCACACCUUCCACAGGGUGUAAAGUCAGGGACGGUUUUAAUGCGGCGUUUGACGCGUGUUAAGUUCCUCAGUGUUUGUGUCAGAGCUCAGUUUAGUCCGGGACUCUGAGCCGUCUGUCCAUUAAGCCUCGUCUGGGGAGAGACAAAUAAACCUUAAUGGACACUUUUUUCCCGAAAUACCAACAAGGGGAGCUCUGCUAAGUGCCGCCGCGUCGUGCGAGGGUCACCGCGCUGACAAAACGCCUCCACGGGGGGUGUAGCGACGCCACCGAGGCCGCUCGCUCACAAAAAACAAAGAGAAGAGAAAUCGGCCUCUCUUCGGCCUCGCUCUUUACCGCUGAGCGGUUCUCUAUAAAUGCCAAUUAGCCAAAAAAUGUAAAACCAAUUACAGCUGCUUUGUACUCAGCAAAUCUGAUUGUUAGGGGCCGCGUACAUCUCGCUGCUGUACUACAGACAAACCUAUCCAAGCCAGGGACUGCUCCACUCGCCCCCCCCCUCGCCUUCUAAUCUGACUAUAAUGACAUUUGCGUAAGGCAACGAGCGGCGUUUUUUCUUUUCUUCCAGAGACUAACCCACCACACACAUCGCAGACGUUUUUACGGCUCCUGGGUGUAAUAUUUCCCCCUCAUUUGCAUAAUGAUGUCCCCUGUUUAUUAUAAACCUGUGCAUCCAUCUCACUGAGGCCCAUUGAACAAGCAGUGGAUUUGUACAGAAUUAGAAUGCAAAUGGAAUGUAAUACUGUUGCACUACCGGUAAUGGGCCAAUAAAGUGCGCCCCCACCCUUCUCCCUUCUCCCCUCGGCACCUGGAAGCGCCACGUGCCGCAGUUGCCCUCCCAAGCAACACUUUAAACAACAACGAUGUCGUCAAUCAAACUUCUUCAUUAAAGUUUUCAGCAGAAGUAACAUUAAGAAUGUUGCAAUGAGCAAUUUGAAACAGGUCAUUUGACGUUGUUGCUUGACGUGAAGAGGAGGCUGACUCGGUUCAGGGAUGAGAAAUGCUCUGCAAGCAUUUUGCAGUUAAAUCAACGGAUUAAUUCUUCUUGUGAAAGAAUGAUGUAUCUGAGGGUUUAAUCCGUCCUUCAGAGGAGCCCCUGCAUGCAAGGACAUUUUGUGGAGGGGUGGGGGAGUAAAUAUUUCUAACCGAAUAUAUUCUCACACAGCAAUUAAUAUGCACACUAGAGACGUAUAUUUUAAUGCAGCUGCAGUCUUACAGCUCUUAAUCAAAUGCGACAGCAAAAUAAGAACUUUUGAUUAUACAAAGAAAAUGGCAUUCCCUCAUGAAAUAUUAAUGAUGGUGUUCUGUCUUUGUCUCUGCGGAAUAUCAACUUUUGGGCACUGGUGCCACGACAGUAUGCGCCACAGGGGCUGCUCCCUCCACCCACGGCAUUUAAAUAAGUUUACUGGCAAGAUGAAUUGGGAGUCCGUGACGAAAUGCGCUGUGACGAAUGCUGACUCAGGUGGCCACGAGCAAAUCAAGACAAAAAUCCAGCUUGCAGUUCAAACCCAGCGCUCCCUUUUCAUUUUAUUUCCCUCUCUGCACCAGCGUAGCCUGCAUUUUUAUUGGAUUGAGAUCACCACGUUCUAGUCAUUUAAUAUUCUUACUCGCUGAAAGUUUUUUUUCUAACAGUGGCAACUUGUGCCUCCCCAGAGGGACGGACACCUCAGGGAAAGCAUUUCACAGCUCCAAUAUAUAUUACGCAUCGGCACACUGUACCAGGGAAAAGGUGUGGAAGAAAAUACUCUCUCAGGAAUUCUAUUUUUGGAUAUAAUUGAUUCAUUGAGUGGAUUUGAUGACUUUAAAAAGGAUUAACACUGCCCUACUGUCGUAACAUACAGAAGAAAACAAAAAUAAAAGAAAGCCCGAAAAGCUUUAACCCUCUGUGGUCCUCAAGUACCUCAACAAGAAUUAACAGCACACAAAGGGACAGCAAGUGCACGCAAUCAAAUCAACAAACAGGCGGUGGGAUGCAGCCACAACGACACAGCGAAUCAAUUGCGGAUCCACACGCGGAGGCGUUCUGAGUUCUCAGAAGGGGCAUCGACCGUGGUCACGAUCUCGGCAUCAACAGGCAGAGAGAGGUGAAGCCUUUUCCAGCAGAACUCAUCUGUUCAAGUGGACGUGACAAGGUGUGAAACGCCGUCGACGGGGUAAAGUGCCGUGUGGCGUCAUGAGGAGAGGGAAGGUUUCCUGAGAAACUUCCUCUCCCUUCGGUUCUGGCUGCGAUCGAUCCACGCGACGACUGGCCAGGCGUGGAAGUCUAAGUCGAGUUUAUAACGCACAUGCUUAUUUAUUUUCAUUCUUGAUUCGGCUGCCCUGUCAUUUCUUGUCGUGUUCGCGCCGCACUUUGCAAACAAACGCAUUAUUUUCAGCAUAAUGCGACCUUGAUGGUGCACAUUCGUAGCGUCACUGUGUCAGAGUGGUGGAGUAUCAGAAUGACAUCCUCUGUGUGGCAACUGACCUUCCCCCUGCUAUGUUUACUGAGUUGUAAUGAAAGCGCAGCUCCCUCGCUCAGGGUCGUCCCUGUUGGUUCUGUCAGCGUUGGCUUUGUUCUGUCAGCGGCGUGGCACCAUUAGCUGCUUCCCGCCGGCGCGUCCCGUCGCCAUGUUGAGACAAAGCCUCUGUCACGGAUCUUUAUUUAGGAUUAUUAUCUGGAUUUAGAGUUCAGUCUCUUAAUCUACGACGUGACGUGUUUUUGCCACCAAUCAGGAGCACAAGAUUUCAAGUAAUCUUUCAUUUCACUAUGUGUGUUAACGGCAGCAAGGUGAAGGAACAGGCUGAAACAUAUGGGGCAAUUUAGAUUGGUUGGGAGGCAGCUGGGUAAUUGGAUGAUGCAGACCAGGAAAGGAGAAGGAAAUACUGGAAGGCAGGAGGGAGUCGCGCGUCCGGAAAUGGUGUUAGUGAUAUUUUAAACAUGGGUGAUGGCUGACAACAGCAGCUGUCUUUAUUCACGUAGGACUUGUGACUCUUGAACAGCUAAAGAGCCAAAAAGCAGAGGGAAGAGGUCAGAUCACUGGUCGUCACUGGUCGUCCGUGGUCGUCACUGGUCAUCAGUGGUCGUCACUGGUCGUCCGUGGUCGUCACUGGUCAUCAGUGGUCGUCACUGGUCGUCCGUGGUCGUCACUGGUCAUCAGUGGUCGUCACUGGUCAUCAGUGGUCGUCACUGGUCGUCCGUGGUCGUCACUGGUCAUCAGUGGUCGUCACUGGUCAUCAGUGGUCGUCAGUGGUCGUCACCGGUCGUCGUCACUGGUCGUCACUGGUUGUCACUGGUCGUCAGUGGUCGUCACUGGUUGUCAGUGGUCGUCAGUGGUCGUCACUGGUCAUCAGUGGUCGUCGUCACUGGUCGUCAGUGGUCGUCACUGGUUGUCACUGGUCGUCAGUGGUCGUCAGUGGUCGUCAGUGGUUGUCACUGGUCGUCACUGGUUGUCACUGGUCGUCAGUGGUCGUCAGUGGUUAUCAGUGGUCGUCAGUGGUCGUCAGUGGUCGUCACUGGUUGUCACUGGUCGUCAGUGGUUGUCAGUGGUCGUCACUGGUUGUCACUGGUCGUCAGUGGUCGUCACUGGUUGUCACUGGUCGUCAGUCGUCGUCACUGGUCGUCAGUGGUCGCGAUGAAUUCGUUUUUGAAAAAAACUACUGAAUUGAACAAAAACGUUUAAUUUAAAACAAUUAAAUUUUUUUUUUAUAGAUAAUCAGUACAAGGCUUUUUUAAUUUACUUUUCCCUCUUUCAUAUCAGUUUUAAAUUACUAACUUUGAGGUGUUGGACUGUAAGUAUAAAUAAACAAGCAUGAAUUAGCAUUUGUCACUCUUUUGACAUCUUGCACACUAAACAAUUUAUUGAUAAUAAAUACCUGCAGCCAUAUGUUGUUAUGCCUCAGUUAUUUUUUCUCUGUAGAAACAUCCCCUCACGAUGCCAAAUGUCCCUUUCCCGUGCUGCAGGGGGCAGUAGUUGGACGUGGACACACGACUAAGCCUGGUUUCAAAACCAGUGCUCUCCAACUGCAGCACAGUCAAAGCUUUUCUCAUCAGAAGGUAGAAUGAGGAUCCCAAGAUUCAAUCAUAAGCCAUUGUUAUCCACCUCGAACUUGUUUUUUUGCCGCUUGUUUGGCAGCAGUGUCCUCACGUGUUUCCAUGUUACAGACACCCGGAUGAGUUUAGACAAAGCAAUUCGUAUCGUCGUCCCUGUACGACACUCGUAUAACAUUAUUUCUGUGAGUGAUUGAGCUUUUUAUAGGAUUGUAGAAGUGACUGCGGUGAAGUCUCUCAUCUGGUUCUGUAGAUCUUCUCUUGCGAAUUAACUGACCCUCAAAAGAUGCAUCAUCGAUCUGGGGGGGGGGGGGGACUCCCGUAAAAACCUCUCAAGGACUGGAAUUACUGAUUAAACCAUUCACUGCAAAGCACCAUGGGAGCUGUUCUUUAAAGGCAGUUUUGUGGACAGGUUCGUAGUUAGUUAGAGGCAAACUCAGCAGGCUCUUAUGGAACGAAAAAGUGCCCCAUUUGCUUCAUGCUCUGCUGUGGGAAAAGCUCACUGACUGAAAUAAUCUAAUUCUUCACGCACCAGUAUCCACUGGUGACCAUCUGCAACUGGUCUAAAAAACAAAAUCACUCAAAUUGUUGUGUUGGCUCUCCAUUCCUCUUUUUCCGGUUCAAUGCCGUUUUUUCUUGUUUUUUUUUCCAGCUGCACGCUAACAUCCGCCGAUGUGGCGUUCAAAACCAACGCUUCGUAGGCUCGGCCCGCUGUGCUUGUUGCGCGGUUUUCUGCAACUUUUGCGACCGAUGGAACUGCAGCUGAAUCCUCGCAGCCCCUUCGGCCGUCUUUGUGCCAUUUUGCUCCCUCGGCAGAAGCCUCCUCGGUGCUCUCCCACAUUUUGUGGAUAUCUCUUGAAUCCUUUUGUGGUGCCGAUAAGGAAAGUGUCCACAAAAGCAACAUAUGUGUUCAACUGUGUUUCUGUUUCCGGUGACCGCCGAGUAUGCCUCUGCCGUCGAGCUGUAGAGCAACGGUGCGUCGACCACGUCAGCCAGCCGACACCGCCCGCUGAGGUGUGACACGAGAGCUUGAUGGAGCUCAUCCUAUCAGUCAUCUCGCAACCACAGGCCCCGCCACACCAUCACGACACUCUCAGCUCUGCUCCAUGCUUGGCUUCCAAUCAAUGCAAAGUUGCCCACGUAGAAAAGUCUUGCAGGGUGACUUGUGAUUUAUUACCCCCAUCCUAUAAGCCGCCGUCAGGAAUGCAAGCCUCUGUUUCUGCUCAUCUCUGUGCUCCCAUUCCAUCUCUCCAGUUCUCUUAAUCCUCCCAUUCUCCCUCUCUUCUGUGCCCCCCAACCACACGAUGCUCCCUCGCCGAUGCCUGAUUAGGAAAUCUGAUCCCACGAUCCUACUCAAUGUUACUCUGAGGCAGACGUUUUCUCUCCCCGGAAAUAAGACUGCAGGCGCACUCCGCGUAACCCGGCUUUGACAUCGCUGUCUGCCGGAUAAGUGCCCGCAGGCUUGAAGAACUUGCACUCAGCCUUGUAAUUAUGCAAUGGGCAGUAAUAAUUUACUGUUUGAGAGUAGCGAGGGGGGGAUAGGGGUCACUGAGCUGGCUGCUGCCGGCGCCCUGAGAUGAAUGCACUACACCGCACUGCGUGCACCUUCAGCUCUCCUCCUACUUCUUCCCUGCUUGUACCUCCGACAGCGUAACAUGCAGCACGCGGGUUGUAGGUGCAAGGUUCGGCGUGUGGAUCGGGGGAAUGUGUUUGACUUUGGCGUCCCCUCGUGGAAGUCGCUGCUUAUCCCCUGUGGGACAGAGAGACAAAUUGGCAUUGGGGCAUCCAACCCAUAAAACCUGACUGAUCUGCACACCGUUAGAUGAAUUUGAUGACAAUAUAACAUUGUACUU
ensembl:lncRNA